UACGAAGGGGGCUAGCGUUGCUCGGAAUCACUGGGCGUAAAGCGCGCGUAGGCGGCUUGCUAAGUCAGGGGUGAAAUCCUGGAGCUCAACUCCAGAACUGCCUUUGAUACUGGCGAUCUUGAGUCCGGGAGAGGUGAGUGGAACUCCGAGUGUAGAGGUGAAAUUCGUAGAUAUUCGGAAGAACACCAGUGGCGAAGGCGGCUCACUGGCCCGGUACUGACGCUGAUGUGCGAAAGCGUGGGGAGCAAACAGG
rnacentral:rRNA from 1 species